rnacentral:lncRNA from 1 species
CGUUCUUCACCACUUUUAUCAACUCUUCUAGAUGGUUCUUUCUAGAUUCUCUUUUGUAAUACCAUUGUCUUCUCACUGAAGAAUUACCUUCGCCAUUGUUUUUUGUUAUGUGCAAACUCAAACUUAUAUGAAACAAAAUUUGUUACCUAUAAUAAUGGUUUCAUAGAAAGUUAAAAUUUUAUAAAUAAGAUCAUUAACAUUCUUAAAAAUUACAAGUACAAAAUAGAAG